AUAGCCUUUCGAAAGAAAGAUUAAUACCCGAUGGCAUAAUGAUUCCGCAUGGUUUCAUUAUUAAAGGAUUCCGGUAAAGGAUGGGGAUGCGUUCCAUUAGGUUGUUGGUGAGGUAACGGCUCACCAAGCCUUCGAUGGAUAGGGGUUCUGAGAGGAAGGGUCCCCCACAUUGGAACUGAGACACGGUCCAAACUCCUACGGGAGGCAGCAUG
rnacentral:rRNA from 1 species